CACCCUCCUCUCCUGCGAGGCAGUUAGGUAUGGCAAGUAUGACUGGAUCUGUUUUAUACUGGAGGAAACACACUGGAAGAAGGAGAAGGUAUUGUAACUUGUCCCGGGGCACACAUUUAGUAGCGCGGUAGCUGGCUUUCAGGCUUCAUACUUCGUUGGCUUAGUACUACACCACGCUUGAGUGUGAAAGGAGCAAUGUCAGGGCCAGACGAUAGAGUCUAGAAAAUUCUUCUCUCCAAAGGAGCAAGGGAGCCCUCCCUGAAGCCUCUGAUGGCUGAGCACCACGGUAGGUCAGAACCUGCGGGAUUGGGACCACCGUGAUGAUGGAUACCUCUGAGCGGCAGAGCGGAGGCGGGAGAAGCCCUGCAGCGGCUGAGGGCUCUUGGGGAGGCAACACUUGGCCUGAUAGAAAAUUCAGCAUAUAGAGACCAUUGUCAAACGGACCGCUAGUGCCUGCUUGGGAGCCUGGAAAGUGAAACAGUUCUUUGGCUGGCCCAAUACCUGCAAACCUCGGAGAUAUGCAGGUUUUGAUCAAGACCACCUCAAUAAAGCAAAUAUUGGAAUAAAGUAGUCUACAUUUCAAGAAGAGAAACUGGACCGGCCAUGAGAAAAUGCUGGCUCUAGGAUUCAGACUACAGCACUAGCUAUUCUCCAUGCCUGGCAAGUCUUACCUGCCCCUGUGUGAGAAAUGGAGGUACAAGAAGUCAAGACGAUCUGCUUGCCCCCUCACUGAAUAAUAUCUGCACAGAUCACUCAGAAGAUCUGGAUGGCCCCUGGAAGGCCUUUUUCAACAUGUGGAUUAUUGCAGUCUUAUGUUAGCAAUUAUUUUUGGUAAAAUAAAGAUCCAAAAGGGUGACUUUUAUUUUGGUAAAACAAAGAGUUGAAACUUCUGAGCUUAAAAUGUUAUACAAGAUCAUUUUAAUAAACUAAAUGUCUAUUAAUAGGGUAAUGUUAAAUAACUUAUAUGAAGCCCAUACUAAGGAAUAUUAUAUGAUAGUGUAACAAGUAUAUAUGUUCUUGGCAUAACAACAUUCUUAAGAGGAAAAAGUAAGUGGCAGGAAAUGUAUAUCUUAUGUUGCAUUUAUGUACAAAGGUGUAUGUAGAUUGAUAUGUAGGGGGCCUCUGAGGUGCUGAUAAUGUUCUACUUCUUGACUUGGGUAGUGGUUAUAUUGCAUUUGUGACAAUUCAUUAAGCUGUAAAAUUAUGACAUGCAUACUUCUGUAUAUUUUAAAAAAAGUUUAAAACGAUAUCUAAAGACAUGUAUGUAUAGAUAUGUGUGUGUAUAUAAUUUCUUUGAAAAAUCUCUAGAAAUAAUCAAUUAGUAACCAUGGUUGCCUCUGGUGAGAGCUGUAGCAUUUGGAAAAUAGUGAAGGGGACUCAAAUAUUCAAUUGUUUGAAUGUUUUACAGUGAGUAUAUAUAAUUUGUAGGGACAGAAAAUUCCCCCAAAGAACUAUUAAAACAUUAGCUACACACCUACUCAUUUUGCCUUUAAAAUCAAUUUUCUCUUUGCACAUUCAGCUGUUUCUUGUGUUCUCCUUGAAGUUCCAGAUGGAGGGAGAGCUACAUCCUCACCUGUGUUUUGCAAACACAUGAACAAAGGAGACACAUCUGAAACAUAAAAUCUGUGUGACAGCCUCCUUCAAAGGAGUCCUAUUUGUCUUUGAAAACAAAGUAAAUUACCUGAGUGAAUACAAAUUCCACCUUGUGAAGUCUUUGUUGAGAGGUAUCCACAGGUGCUUUGCAAUAACCUGUCAAAUAAUCCUACCUGACACACGGAGAGAUGAACAUAAGGUCAAACUAAUGCUGUGAGACUGCGGACUGAUGUGUCACCGUCAUUUUUAUUGUACUGUAUAUCUCAAUUCUGUCAUAAGGAAUAUAUUUUAAAGGAAAUGAAAACUCACGUGAUGAAUGUGUAAAAUCUCUGCCUCAUCAAGAUGAUAAAAGAUUGUGUGGAAUUCCUCAACCUGGUGCAUUUUGCCAUAGAACAUUUUUAGACAUACCUACUAGACAUUCUCAGAAUGAAGAUCUUGCUAUUCAUCUAAUCACAGAUUUAAUUUUUCCAUGGACCGUGAGUAUUCUCUGGGUGCCUUCAGGGUACAGAAAACGGUACUUUAACCCAAGCAUGCCCUUAGCAAGGAUGGAAGAGUGUUAUGAGAACUGGGAAUGUUUCACUUGGGGAAGAGGAGGCUUAAUGCACAUUGAAAGAAGGGUGGCAUUCGGUUGGCCAGGGGAAUACAAGGUUCAUAAGAGCCCUGUCUCGUUUACCUGUAUCCACAGUGCCUAGCAGAUGGUCUCACAAGAGGAGGUGCUCAGCAAGAACUGCUGGGCAGCUGGCGGGAUGCAGGGAUGGAGGGAGGAUGGGUGGAAGCAUUUGGGGUCAUGCGGCCAACCGCAUGAAGCCAGCACUCCUGGGAGAAGUGACAGAAGUUGGCUGCUGAAGGCCAAAACGGUGGCACAGUGUCAUGUUGUUCUGAGAGCACGGGCUCAGAGACCAGGCCCCAUGGGGCUGCUUCCCGUCUCUGUCACUUUCUAGCCUGGGAUGGACAAGAAAAGUCACCUCUCUGUCCCAGGUUUCCUCAUCAGUAAAUGAGGGAUAUUAAAAAUGUAAGAAUUAUGUUUAGGGCUUCCCUAGUG